AGGGCUAAUGGACAAGCUGCAGAAGAGUGGAUGGAUGCAUUGCUGAUGAACAGCUCUGUUGGAGCAGGUGUUCGCUGCAAGACAUUUCAACUAGGAUUACCAGAUGUCAGGUUUUCGACUGAAACGUCUGGUUGAACAGGGAACCUGGCAGUGUCCGGGCAGCACAGCUGACCGGACACUAGAAGGCCAGUUGGCCUCAGUAAUUGGCCUCCGCCACGGGGCAGGGGGAAGUAGCAGCAAGCCACGUGGAGGAGCUGCUCUCUGCUCAGCUGCUGAUGCCUGACAGUGGCUGGCUUCUGGACUGGGCACCAAGAGGCCAAGAGCAUGGAAACAUUGGAUUGUCCAUUGUGUGGAUUGAAUGGCUACUUGGAGGGUCCUGGCUUUGAAAAGGCAGUUGUUGAGGGGUUUUGAUACUGAGAGAGCGUAAUGUCUCUCUCGAGUCCUUCAUGAAAUGAAGCACAUCGUUGGUGUUAUUGGCAAUUAGUUUUUCACCAUCAAAAGGGAGAUCUUCUAUGGUAUUCUGAAUCUCGCAAAGAAAAGAAGACGAUGAAAGCCAUGAAGCUCGACGCAUCACAACUGCUGUAGCAAUGGACCUCGCAGCUGUGUUAGCAACAUGUAGUGUAGUACAAGAGAUGAUUUGUCUGUCAGAGACUAUAGCUUUAAACUGAUGGGCUCCC